UACGUAGGCAGCGAGCGUUGUUCGGAGUUACUGGGCGUAAAGAGUGCGUAGGCGGUUUUCUAAGUUUGGUGUGAAAUCUCCCGGCUCAACUGGGAGGGUGCGCCGAAGACUGGAAGGCUUGAGUAUGGGAGAGGUAAGCGGAAUUCCUGGUGUAGCGGUGAAAUGCGUAGAUAUCAGGAGGAACACCUGCGGUGUAGACGGCUUACUGGACCAUAACUGACGCUGAGGCACGAAAGCGUGGGGAGCAAAAGGG
rnacentral:rRNA from 1 species